rnacentral:rRNA from 1 species
UACGAACCGAGCGAACGUUGUUCGGAAUCACUGGGCUUAAAGGGCGCGUAGGCGGAUUCUCAAGUCCGGGGUGAAAUCCCACAGCUCAACUGUGGAACUGCCUCGGAUACUGGGAGUCUCGAGGGUGGCAGGGGUAUGCGGAACUAUCGGUGGAGCGGUGAAAUGCGUUGAUAUCGAUAGGAACUCCGGUGGCGAAGGCGGCAUACUGGUCCACUUCUGACGCUGAGGCGCGAAAGCCAGGGGAGCAAACGGG